UGUGAAUUGCAGAAUUCCGUGAAUCAUCGAGUCUUUGAACGCACAUUGCGCCCCCUGGUAUUCCGGGGGGCAUGCCUGUCCGAGCGUCAUU
rnacentral:rRNA from 1 species